rnacentral:tRNA from 1 species
GGAAUUGUGGCUCAGUGGUAGAGCACUUGCCUAGCAAGUGUGAGGCACUGAGUUCGAUCCUCAGCACCA